GGACAGGUGGGUGAGUGGCUGAAACCAGUGGAUUGCUAAUCCGCCGUACGGGGUAAACCCGUACCGAGGGUUCGAAUCCCUCCCUGUCCGCCA
rnacentral:tRNA from 1 species